CGUCUUCUCCACUUUCCCGGUCACCACAACGCAGUGGAAUGGACCGAGUGUUCUCUGCCUGAAAUCUCAUGGUGCCAUUCCAGCAGGAUCAAGUGACUCGUAUCUGGUAAUAGCGACAGAUGAUGGAGAAGUUGGCAUCUACUACUUCGCAGAAUCUCAUCUUAUAGCAAGCAACGCCGAAUAUCAGAAGCUCAAGGAGGUUAUGCUUAAAGUCUAGCGUAUUAUAUUCAACUUAUGGUGUGUAUUGCAAUAAUAAAUUGUAAUGGAAUUG